rnacentral:rRNA from 1 species
AUUGAACGCUGGCGGCAGGCCUAACACAUGCAAGUCGAACGAGUGGCGGACGGGUGAGUAAUGUCUGGGAAACUGCCCGAUGGAGGGGGAUAACUACUGGAAACGGUAGCUAAUACCGCAUACCAUCGGAUGUGCCCAGAUGGGAUUAGCUAGUAGGUGGGGUAAUGGCUACAAAAGGCGACGAUCCGUAACUGGUCUGAGAGGAUGAUCAGUCACACUGGAACUGAGACACGGUCCAGACUCCUACGGGAGGCAGCAGUGGGGAAUAUUGGACAAUGGGCGAAAGCCUGAUCCAGCCAUGCCGCGUGUGUGAAGAAGGUGGUCGGAUUGUAAAGCACUUGAAGUUGGGAGGCGUUACCAACAGAAUAAGCACCGGCUAACUUCGUGCCAGCAGCCGCGGUAAUAC